rnacentral:pre_miRNA from 1 species
CAUGUACUCCCUCCGUCCGGAAAUACUUGUCCUAGAAAUGAAUAAAAUGAAUGUAUCUAUAACUAAAAUAUGUCUAGAUACAUGUAUUUCUAAGACAAGUAUUUCCGGACGGAGGGAGUAUCAG